rnacentral:rRNA from 1 species
GAUGAACGCUGGCGGCGUGCCUAAUACAUGCAAGUCGAGCGAACGGACGAGAAGCUUGCUUCUCUGAUGUUAGCGGCGGACGGGUGAGUAACACGUGGAUAACCUACCUAUAAGACUGGGAUAACUUCGGGAAACCGUAGCUAAUACCGGCUAAUAUUUUGAACCGCAUGGUUCAAAAGUGAAAGACGGUCUUCCUGUCACUUAUAGAUGGAUCCGCGCUGCAUUAGCUAGUUGGUAAGGUAACGGCUUACCAAGGCAACGAUGCAUAGCCGACCUGAGAGGGUGAUCGGCCACACUGGAACUGAGACACGGUCCAGACUCCUACGGGAGGCAGCAGUGGGGAAUAUUCCGCAAUGGGCGCAAGCCUGACGGAGCAACGCCGCGUGAGUGAUGAAGGUCUUCGGAUCGUAAAACUCUGUUAUUAGGGAAGAACAGAUGUGUAAGUAACUGUGGACAUCUUGACGGUACCUAAUCAGAAAGCAACGGCUAACUACGUG